rnacentral:rRNA from 1 species
CGGCGGACGGGUGAGUAAUGCUUAGGAAUCUGCCAUUUAGUGGGGGACAACAUUCCGAAAGGAAUGCUAAUACCGCAUACGUCCUACGGGAGAAAGCAGGGGAUCUUCGGACCUUGCGCUAAAUGAUGAGCCUAAGUCGGAUUAGCUAGUUGGUGGGGUAAAGGCCUACCAAGGCGACGAUCUGUAGCGGGUCUGAGAGGAUGAUCCGCCACACUGGGACUGAGACACGGCCCAGACUCCUACGGGAGGCAGCAGUGGGGAAUAUUGGACAAUGGGCGAAAGCCUGAUCCAGCCAUGCCGCGUGUGUGAAGAAGGCCUUUUGGUUGUAAAGCACUUUAAGCGAGGAGGAGGCUACUUGGAUUAAUACUCUAGGAUAGUGGACGUUACUCGCAGAAUAAGCACCGGCUAACUCUGUGCCAGCAGCCGCGGUAAUACAGAGGGUGCGAGCGUUAAUCGGAUUUACUGGGCGUAAAGCGUGCGUAGGCGGCUUUUUAAGUCGGAUGUGAAAUCCCUGAGCUUAACUUAGGAAUUGCAUUCGAUACUGGGAAGCUAGAGUAUGGGAGAGGAUGGUAGAAUUCCAGGUGUAGCGGUGAAAUGCGUANAGAUCUGGAGGAAUACCGAUGGCGAAGGCAGCCAUCUGGCCUAAUACUGACGCUGAGGUACNAAAGCAUGGGGAGCAAACAGGAUUAGAUACCCUGGUAGUCCAUGCCGUAAACGAUGUCUACUAGCCGUUGGGGCCUUUGAGGCUUUAGUGGCGCAGCUAACGCGAUAAGCAGACCGCCUGGGGAGUACGGUCGCAAGACUAAAACUCAAAUGAAUUGACGGGGGCCCGCACAAGCGGUGGAGCAUGUGGUUUAAUUCGAUGCAACGCGAAGAACCUUACCUGGUCUUGACAUAGUAAGAACUUUCCAGAGAUGGAUUGGUGCCUUCGGGAACUUACAUACAGGUGCUGCAUGGCUGUCGUCAGCUCGUGUCGUGAGAUGUUGGGUUAAGUCCCGCAACGAGCGCAACCCUUUUCCUUAUUUGCCAGCGGGUUAAGCCGGGAACUUUAAGGAUACUGCCAGUGACAAACUGGAGGAAGGCGGGGACGACGUCAAGUCAUCAUGGCCCUUACGACCAGGGCUACACACGUGCUACAAUGGUCGGUACAAAGGGUUGCUACCUAGCGAUAGGAUGCUAAUCUCAAAAAGCCGAUCGUAGUCCGGAUUGGAGUCUGCAACUCGACUCCAUGAAGUCG